CUUCAUUAAGAAGGGAUUGAAUCAUCAACUUCAUCAUUUGACUCUAAGACACCAAAACAAAUGCUCCAAAACUCCAUUUUUCCUCUCAAAGGUGCCGAACCCUUACCUCCAUCCCAAAUUUUCUCAACCAAAUUUGAUGAUUUUGGAGGCAAAAUGAUCAUAAGGCAAUAAGGAACUAAGGAGGUACAUGUUGUGUUUAGAGCUAGAAUUUUGAAGAAAUGAUCAUGAUCUUUGGAGGAAUUCAGUUCGGCCAUGGAGCUAAGACAUCACCCAAGACUGGACGAGUGACUAUCGAUACGGCUCAAGGCGUACGGAUUGAGAUAUCGUCGUGCUUAUUUGAAGAAUUUGGAUAGCAAGUGGGAUAGCAUGAUAUGAUUUGAAGAGUCAAUCUUCCGAAGUUCUAAUUCUCGGAAGUGAUUUGUACAAGAAGAAAAAGAAUGUUUUCGUUCUAGCAGUCCGCAGUAGUCUAGAAUUUGUUAACUAUACUAUUGUAUAACGCGUUUUAACUCUGAUAUUAUUUGUAAGUGGGGUCACAUGUAUUUUAAUAUAUGAAAUAUGUUUUGAUUUGCGAAAAA